CAACCGCGCCCCCCGCGCACGGACCCCCAUUACACUCGCGUCCCAGGCGGGGUCGACCCAGACGAGCCACGGGGCGGCGGAGAGCCCCACUCGCAGGGCGGCCGGGACCCACGCGCGUGGGUCCACGCAGCAACCUAUAGGUGACAAAACACUCAGGAAGCCGUCAUGCGGGGCCGAGAAAGAGCCCCCAUCCAGAGUCACGGACCCCCUCGUCCGAGGGUCCGCGCAGUCCCCUCGGUAAGUCGGACUAAGCAGUCUCGCUACGGGAGAGGGCGGCGGAGCCUCCCACUCUUGGUGACCCGGACCCCGCCCCACGAGUGGGUCUUCGCAGGGCCCCCCUCUGACGCACACGGGGACCAGCCACGCCGCGGGGGCACCGGGCAGGAGCCAGCGCCCGGGUCCACGCAGUCCACUCCGGGCAGACGCGGGGAGCUGGGGAGCAGUGGGGACCGGCCCCCACCCGCAGGACGACCGGGACCCCCGCUCGGGCCCACGCGGCGUCGCAGCAGGCGCGGAGCCCCCGGUGCCACCCGAGGCCGAGACAAAGCCCAGGCGCACGGACCCCGGACCCCGACCCCGGACCCUGCGGAGCCCCGCUCGGAGCCUCCACGCCCGGGGCAGAGACCCCCGCCCGGUCCGGAGACCCUGCCGCCCGUCGCGCCGUCUCACCUCAGACCGCCACCUCGCAGCGCUCGCUCCUCGCCGCGGCGCCUGGGCCGACUGGAGCGCAGCUGAACAGCCGACAGAGCCGCAGCCGCCUUAACAAUGGAGCCCCGGGGCGGGGCCGCCGCCGCCUCAGCCCGUGUACCCCGCUCGAGAUCCGGCUCGGCUCGCGGAGCUGCAGCCGGCGUGGGGUUGCGGCCCGGACAGACACCACGCAGGCGCACACGGCCCCGCCCGCCGCCCGCCGUCCCGCCCCCAGCGGAGCCGGGCGCCCAGGGCCCGCCCCCCGGCCAAUGGGAAGCGAGCUGCGCGGAGUGGGCGGGGCCUGGGGGAACAAAGGGAGGUUGGGCGGGGCGGCGCUGGGACUGGGCUUGAGGGGUCCCGCGGGAGGACCCGCCUUAAGAGCCGGCCCGAUCAUCGCCUCCUAGAAUACCCAGCUCAACGUCUACUUGGAGUCGGCUCUACAGGACGCGCUCAUUUCAAACCCAGAGCUCAGGCUUUUAGGGCAGAGAGCGAGAGACAGGCUUGCUUUACAGAAAGGGAAACUGAGGUCCAAGGAAUAGGAUUGCCUGCCGCUCGAAGAAACGUAAUCCCAUUCACUCGUUCAUCUUGUAGUCAUUCAGCAAACAUUUGGAAGCAUGU
rnacentral:lncRNA from 1 species